CACAAUGGGGCACACAAUGGGACACAAUGGGGACAAAGGGACGCAGUGGGGCGCUAUGGGGCACAGUGGGGACACAAUGGGACACACAAUGGGACACAAUGGGGACAAAGGGGCGCAGUGGGGCGCUAUGGGGCGCUGUGGGGCGCAGUGGGGCGCUAUGGGGCGCUAUGGGGCGCAGUGGGGACCCGUUGUUGCCCACGUGGUUCCUCUGACGUCCCAGUGCAGGGUGGGGGCGGGGCGGGCGCUGCUGGUGCUGCAGCUCAGCUCCACCAAAGUGCCGGGACGGGGGGACGGCGGGGACACCGAGAUGGACACCGACUGCGGGGGGACUGCGGGACGCACGGACACGGUGGGACACACGGACACAUAGGGACCCAUUGGGACACCACUGAGACCCACAGAGACCCCAUAGGGACCAGAGGGACACAUAGGGACCCAUAGGAACCACAUAGGGUUGCAUAGGGACCCAUAGAGACCCCAUAAGGGACCAUAGGGACUCAUAGGGACCCAUAGAGAUCAUAGGGGCACACAGGGACCCAGAGAGACCCCAUGGGGACCAUAGGGAUGCAUAGGGACCCACAGAAACCCCAUAGGGACCAUAGGGACCAUAGGGAUGCAUAGGAACCCGUAGAGACCCAUAGAGACCCAUAGAGACCCAUAGGGACCCCAUAGGGAUGCAUAGGGACCCAUAGAGACCCAUAGAGAUCAUAGGGGCACACAGGGACCCAUAGAGACCCAUAAGAGACCCAUAGAGACCCCAUAGGGACCACAGGGACCAUAGGGACCAUAGGGACCCACAGAAACCCCAUAGGGACCCAUUGGGACAUCACAGAAACCCAUAGAGACCCCAUAGGGAUGCAUAGGGACCAUAGGGACCCAUAGAGACCCCAUAAGGACCAUAGGGACCCAUAGAGAUCAUAGGGGCACACAGGGACCCAGAGAGACCCCAUAGGGACCAUAGGGAUGCAUAGGGACCCAUAGAGACCCAUAGAGACCCAUAGAGACCCAUAGGGACCCCAUAGGGAUGCAUAGGGACCCAUAGGGACCCAUAGAGACCCAUAGAGACCCAUAGGGACCCCAUAGGGAUGCAUAGGGACCCAUAGGGACCCAUAGGGAUCAUAGGGGCACACAGGGACCCAGAGAGACCCCAUAGGGACCAUAGGGACACAUAGAGACCCAUAGAUAUCAUAGGGACACAAAGGGACCCAGAGAGACCCCAUAGGGACCAUAGGGACCCAUAGAGAUCAUAGGGACACACAGGGACCCAUAGAGACCCAUAAGAGACCCAUAGAGACCCCAUAGGGACCACGGGGACCAUAGGGACCCAUAGGGACCCAUAGAGACCCGAUAGGGACCCAUUGGGACCUUAC
rnacentral:lncRNA from 1 species